UUAACACCACCACGCCCAUGUCUCUCUCGUCUCUCCCGUUCCAACCAAAUCCGGGGCUGGCGGCGGCAAACCCUAGCGCUGCGGCGGCGGCGGUGGCGGCGGCGGCAGACCCUAGCGCCAUGGACUGGCCGGUGCAGGGGACGGCGAUCACGGCCGGUUGAUGAUGGCGCCUCAGGUCCAUAAAGCGUUGGCUCCUCUCCAUCGACAUGACCAGCACAAAAGAUCGGAUGAAGAAUACAAGAGGAAGACUAAGAACAAGGUGAGCUCUCUCUCCCCCUAAUCUGCCUAGAUUGCAAGUAUACAUGUGCAUACUUAAUUACUAUUUAGCUGUUCUAUUGCGUUCUUAGUUCUUUCUUUUUUCAGCCAUGCAUUUCUUCUGUCUAUAAGAGUACACCAUUCUUCGUUUGAUCACUCUUGGAUGAUUCCUUUUGUUUGAGGAACUCAAAUUUUCAGUAGCAAGCAUGCAGUUUGGCCAAUGAUGCAGGGUGAUCUGGUUGUUCUGUUGGAGCUGAAAGUUUGGACGGGUACUGAAUAGUGUGAAUUACAUCUGUAAAUAACAACAUGAGGAUCAGGGAUGCAAGCGGCUGGAUUCCAAAACUGCACCCCCCCCCCCCCCCCCUAUGUUUUGCUCGAUAAAUCAAGUUUUUUUUUUUGCAAUGUUCAAUGGCCUGAAUGUACGAAAUGAGACAAUUCACACCCUUGAUUUCAUAGCAGGUCUCAUGGUUCAGUAGCAAGUAUCAUUAAUCUAACUACCUCCUCCAAAAUGUCAUUUUUCAAUUGAUUUUAGUUCCCUUUUGUAUUCAGUUUUUAAAUUGGUUUCAACUGUCUUUUGGCACUCAAAUGUGAUUAAGUGCAGUAACAUGUAGCAUUUAGUUUAUUUGGUUGACAGUUUAUAACCUCAGCAAGGAGCACGUGACAUUGACGCCAUCACUGAGCUCAAGAUGGUGCCUUGCAAUGAUCAUUGCACUUCUCUUCCAUACAUCAGUGCCACUUCCAAAGCGGAGUGCCUCCUAGAGGAUAGUCUCUAUUAUCAGAAGGGUGAGUGUCCAGUUUGCUCUGCAUAAUACAACGAAGCCUUCAGUGUUGGAGGGGUGAAGCAGCACAGAAGACAAAGAAGGCAUAUUGUGCGAGAGCGGCGAUGGCAUGGACGAGCUUGUCUGCUCCCGGUUCGGGUACCAAUGGGACAGCGACACGUUCUAGCUUGCACUGAAUGUGAUCGUAUAGAGACACGAUGGAUAUGCCCAAUCCUACAGUGGCGUACGGAGCCGGCUUCGUGUGAGAUGACGGUGGGUUAGCGGUCCAUCAUGCACGUGUUCCGUUGGUACAAAUCUCUUCUUGCGGUACACAACGACUACCAUCAGUUGCAGCCCGGCGCGCAAACGUCGUCUUCCUAAUAAACAGAUAAGGGUGCACAACAUUGUGGAUCCAACCUUGCCGGCGACGCUGAGAAAAAAAGGCAAAUCUAUCCAUUCGGGCACUGCACGAGGCGAGAAGCUAGGAGCUAUGGUGAUGGCGGCGGCGGGAGGUGGGAGGCGGGAGGUGACGGAUUCCAGUUCCUAGCAGAUCCGGUUCACAGGUUUCCCUUGCCGGAUCUCGCCGCCGGCGGCUCUUUACUGCGCAGUGAAGCCAAGCAAGCUGUGGUACACACGCCCGCCGAAUCCAGCAUUUGUGAUGUGGGUGAUGCGGCGCCGACACCUGACAGUACAACUAUAUUUGAACAUCGCUUGCAAUGGGAUGGCCCUGUCGGCGCCGAACUCAGAGCAAUCGAUGGGCAAGGACGAUCCUCAGCCGCCUGGCUGGACCAAGAGGGUGCGUGUUGGGCAUGCACCUGAUGAACGUCCCCCAUUUGCUGGCAGAAUGAGUGCCUUGAAAAAACAUUGAGAAGAUAUGUAGUUCCUGCGGUAGGAAGCCACUUUAAUUCACUUGGAGAAGCAUAUGUCUAUUACAAUCUGUAUUCUAGGGACACUGGGUUUGGAAUAACGUACGGCAAGAGCAGGCUUAAUGUUGAAAGGAUAAAUGCAUGCAGGAGAUACUAUGUGGCUGCUCCUGCUCGGUAAGCACUGUUUUCAAUGGACCAUCACAUACCCAAUUGGCUGAUGUAUCGGACAUAACAUUUAGCGUCAAUGAAAAGAGAAAUGAAUAAGUUUGACACACUGUUGUACAUGCGACUUCUUUUUGAUAGGGAAGCAAGUGAGAACUAUGAAGAGAGACGUACAAAGAUAGUAAGUUUUUUAAAUAACAUAUGAUGUUCCUAUAUCCUCACUUCCUGCUGUUGUAUCAUGAAACUAAUGCGCGUAAUGAAAAUGAACACACCACUGGAGUUGCAUGCUAGCGAUAUGUACACACGAGCCAUGUUUGAAAAGUUUGGUGAAAUUAUGUAUGAAGCAGGGCAGUACAAAGUAGAGGAGGUCAGUAAAGGGAAAAUCUAUUUCGUGCGACGAUACCAUCCAGAGAAACAUGAAAAGUGGUGCGGGGUGUGUACAAAGUGGAAGUUGUUGAGGAAGGGAGGGAACUGAUAUGUGAGUGUGCUAAUUUCGAGCACACAUUCUUGCUCUGCUGCCAUGCAGUUAAGGUCCUUGAUUUCCUCGGCAUAUACCAGAUACCAGCAAAACAUAUUCUGAAACGUUGGACAAAGGAUGCAAGAGAUGUAUUGUCCACCCACUUAUCACACCUUCAGAAGGAUAGCAUUUCAGUGAAUUCAAUAACCUUUAGGCACUCAAAUCUUCACACACAUGCACUCGAAGUGGUGAGGCUGGAGAUGCAAAUACAGAGGCCUAUGACUAUGAGUGUGCAAUGGACAUCUUGAAGAUAGCAAUGGAUAAACUGACACCAAUAGCCGCCAUGCGAGAUGGAAUGUGAUUGCAUUGGAAGACAAAAUUCAGCCAAACAAGAGAUGUCUACACCUGAUUCAGGCGGGGGCUCUGUUAGCCAUGUGUCUUCCUGCUCUAGCUCGAGUGCCCUUGCAGUCAGCGAUGAGCACGACCUGCAUCUUCAGUUCUUGCCAUCUGAUGAUCAUGUCGCUGGCGGCAGUGCUCCAGGGCAUGCGGCUUUCGUGCAGGUCGGUGAUUGAGGAUACCGUGUACGGGAGGGCUGAUGGUGUAUCGAUGGCAGAUGAAGGUUGCGAAGAUGAGUCACAAGUCCAGUCCCGUUCUUCAACCGUGGAAGAGGUGGGUACCUAUGAUCCAGAAAAUCAGAGCUACGCCGGCGGUGAUAACUGGUCCAAGACAGGAAGCUACUCCGAGUUAAGGACCAAGGUUGCUGAUGGAUCCAUCAGCGGCGUCGAUGGUGAGAGACGCGCAGCAAAGCGAGCAAGAGUUGAGGACUGAUGCGUUCCGAAGAUGCUUAAAGCUGUUACCCUUAGUAACCGCUAAACUCAGCGGUGAAAUCCUAGACUAAAAAAGGUGUUUGUGUUAAGAUUAGUGGCGUACAAGUUUGCGCCAGUGUGGUGCGGCGGGUUCAAUGUGGAUCUAGGAGUCCUGGUAGGUUUGUGUGGAAAAAAUAAAAGGAGGUUAGGUUUUGGUUUGUCGAAAUCCAUGUAUGUUGAUUAGAUUAUGUUUUCAUGUGUGGUGUCUGCCCCCAA